rnacentral:rRNA from 1 species
AUGGCUAUCAGCAAGAAGAGGAAGCUUAACACUUCUACAAGUCCAGAAGAAGAACCUUGCUCAGUUACUGGCAGCAAUGUAGAUGCAAGAGUUGCUGCAUGUGAAGAGCAAGUUCUCCCUCCAGUUGUUCCCCAAAUCCCUGUGAAACUGACUAGGAGCAGGGCUAGGGAGAUGACAAUCCCAGCUAGCAACACAAGGAGCAAGAAGGCAAAAUAUGGAAAAUGA